UGUUCUUUGGAUUAUCAUAGCAUACUCGUCUCUUCUAAUCCUAGCAAGGGCAUUCUUCAUGUUUACAGAUAGUUUGGCGCUCUCAUGGUUCUUUUCGAGAGAUUAUUCUUCCGAGCAUUAUUUGGUAACCAUCUACUGUAGAUCAUCUAUUGCCCUUAUGACCUGAGCCCGCAGGAAUCGAUGCUGCUGCGCGACGUGGGGCCCAUGCCCGACCCCGACGACGGCGGUCGACCACAACCUCCCUCUCCGGAGAAGCUCAGGCUGCCACCACACAAAGGGAGAGGAUCCCAAGAUGAAUCUAUCCCUCCUUACUAUCAAUGACCCAACGACAGAGACAGCUACUUCGAGUCUAGGUGAGUAGCCGCCAGCCCUGCAUUUCGAGCCUAGGUAACCAAGUUUGUGUCUACUUCUAUGAUUAGUUGCUUAUGCUUCAUGGUCUUUGUGAAACACAACAUGAUGCCUUGUUGGUUUCCUGGGCAAGGCCUUUUGGGACCGAUCUCUCUAGCGUUAAAGAAAGCAAGAUUGAUGCUCUGUUUUCUCUAUUUUUGUUGGGUUGGAGCAGAGUGGGUUACCGAUCCCAUAUGCCAGUAUAUAGGAAGAACAAAAAACUUUAGUUGAUUUACCUUUUAACCUAAAUUUAUAUAGGAAACUUAUACUAACCUUUAUCUCGGUUAGUUGCACCAGCUUGCAUGUAUUUCAGUUGUGGCUCCUUUAUUCUAAGUUAGCUGCAUCAGCUUGCAGUUAUUAGUGUUCUUCCAUGCCUACUUACAUGAGUGUGUCACUUAUAUUGUUUAUGGUGUAUGCCACCUGAUCAUUGUACAACCAUUGUUGCCUAUCAAUAAAUUUUGGGGUAAUGGAGACAUUGAUCGUCUUUCUCGGACAAUAUAUGGUUUGACUUCUUGUUGUUACAUUUUUGUUUGCGUCAGAAUUAUAACAUGUAUUUGCUUAUUGCAACAGGUAGAUUAUUUACCCCCUAAUUCCCUUUACUUUUGUUUGAUACUAUGUACAUAUCAAUGUUUAGUCACUUGAAUUCAGAACAAAGAUAUGAUACACCGGACACGAAAGAAAGGAGUAGAUAGAUAUACAGAUUCAGAUGAUAUAGUUUCUG